rnacentral:sRNA from 1 species
ACUCAACACUAACAAUUUAGAAUGGGCUGAUCAUCGUUACUAAAGCAUGCCGCCGAUUGCGCGCGGAUCCUUGAACAGCGAGCGAGCCCAAAACUUGUCUUUACGAGUUU